AGCGAACGCUGGCGGCAGGCCUAACACAUGCAAGUCGAACGAACCUUUCGGGGUUAGUGGCGGACGGGUGAGUAACACGUGGGAACGUGCCUUUAGGUUCGGAAUAACUCAGGGAAACUUGUGCUAAUACCGAAUGUGCCCUUCGGGGGAAAGAUUUAUCGCCUUUAGAGCGGCCCGCGUCUGAUUAGCUAGUUGGUUGAGGUAAUGGCUCACCAAGGCGACGAUCAGUAGCUGGUCUGAGAGGAUGAUCAGCCACAUUGGGACUGAGACACGGCCCAAACUCCUACGGGAGGCAGCAGUGGGGAAUCUUGCACAAUGGGCGAAAGCCUGACGCAGCCAUGCCGCGUGAAUGAUGAAGGUCUAGGAUUGUAAAAUUCUUUCACCGGGGACGAUAAUGACGGUACCCGGAGAAGAAGCCCCGGCUAACUUCGUG
rnacentral:rRNA from 1 species